rnacentral:rRNA from 1 species
GGUUAAGCGACUAAGCGUACACGGUGGAUGCCCUGGCAGUCAGAGGCGAUGAAGGACGUGCUAAUCUGCGAUAAGCGUCGGUGAGGUGAUAUGAAUCGUUAUAACCGGCGAUUUCCGAAUGGGGAAACCCAGUGUGUUUCGACACACUAUCAUUAACUGAAUCCAUAGGUUAAUGAGGCGAACCGGGGGAACUGAAACAUCUAAGUACCCCGAGGAAAAGAAAUCAACCGAGAUUCCCCCAGUAGCGGCGAGCGAACGGGGAGGAGCCCAGAGCCUGAAUCAGUGUGUGUGUUAGUGGAAGCGUCUGGAAAGGCGCGCGAUACAGGGUGACAGCCCCGUACACAAAAAUGCACAUAUUGUGAGCUCGAUGAGUAGGGCGGGACACGUGGUAUCCUGUCUGAAUAUGGGGGGACCAUCCUCCAAGGCUAAAUACUCCUGACUGACCGAUAGUGAACCAGUACCGUGAGGGAAAGGCGAAAAGAACCCCGGCGAGGGGAGUGAAAAAGAACCUGAAACCGUGUACGUACAAGCAGUGGGAGCCUCUUAAUGGGGUGACUGCGUACCUUUUGUAUAAUGGGUCAGCGACUUAUAUUCUGUAGCAAGGUUAACCGAAUAGGGGAGCCGAAGGGAAACCGAGUCUUAACUGGGCGUUAAGUUGCAGGGUAUAGACCCGAAAUCCGGUGAUCUAGCCAUGGGCAGGUUGAAGGUUGGGUAACACUAACUGGAGGACCGAACCGACUAAUGUUGAAAAAUUAGCGGAUGACUUGUGGCUGGGGGUGAAAGGCCAAUCAAACCGGGAGAUAGCUGGUUCUCCCCGAAAGCUAUUUAGGUAGCGCCUCGUGAAUUCAUCUCCGGGGGUAGAGCACUGUUUCGGCAAGGGGGUCAUCCCGACUUACCAACCCGAUGCAAACUGCGAAUACCGGAGAAUGUUAUCACGGGAGACACACGGCGGGUGCUAACGUCCGUCGUGAAGAGGGAAACAACCCAGACCGCCAGCUAAGGUCCCAAAGUCAUGGUUAAGUGGGAAACGAUGUGGGAAGGCCCAGACAGCCAGGAUGUUGGCUUAGAAGCAGCCAUCAUUUAAAGAAAGCGUAAUAGCUCACUGGUCGAGUCGGCCUGCGCGGAAGAUGUAACGGGGCUAAACCAUGCACCGAAGCUGCGGCAGCGACGCUUAUGCGUUGUUGGGUAGGGGAGCGUUCUGUAAGCCUGUGAAGGUGUGCUGUGAGGCAUGCUGGAGGUAUCAGAAGUGCGAAUGCUGACAUAAGUAACGAUAAAGCGGGUGAAAAGCCCGCUCGCCGGAAGACCAAGGGUUCCUGUCCAACGUUAAUCGGGGCAGGGUGAGUCGACCCCUAAGGCGAGGCCGAAAGGCGUAGUCGAUGGGAAACAGGUUAAUAUUCCUGUACUUGGUGUUACUGCGAAGGGGGGACGGAGAAGGCUAUGUUGGCCGGGCGACGGUUGUCCCGGUUUAAGCGUGUAGGCUGGUUUUCCAGGCAAAUCCGGAAAACCAAGGCUGAGGCGUGAUGACGAGGCACUACGGUGCUGAAGCAACAAAUGCCCUGCUUCCAGGAAAAGCCUCUAAGCAUCAGGUAACAUCAAAUCGUACCCCAAACCGACACAGGUGGUCAGGUAGAGAAUACCAAGGCGCUUGAGAGAACUCGGGUGAAGGAACUAGGCAAAAUGGUGCCGUAACUUCGGGAGAAGGCACGCUGAUAUGUAGGUGAAGCGACUUGCUCGUGGAGCUGAAAUCAGUCGAAGAUACCAGCUGGCUGCAACUGUUUAUUAAAAACACAGCACUGUGCAAACACGAAAGUGGACGUAUACGGUGUGACGCCUGCCCGGUGCCGGAAGGUUAAUUGAUGGGGUUAGCGGCAACGCGAAGCUCUUGAUCGAAGCCCCGGUAAACGGCGGCCGUAACUAUAACGGUCCUAAGGUAGCGAAAUUCCUUGUCGGGUAAGUUCCGACCUGCACGAAUGGCGUAAUGAUGGCCAGGCUGUCUCCACCCGAGACUCAGUGAAAUUGAACUCGCUGUGAAGAUGCAGUGUACCCGCGGCAAGACGGAAAGACCCCGUGAACCUUUACUAUAGCUUGACACUGAACAUUGAGCCUUGAUGUGUAGGAUAGGUGGGAGGCUUUGAAGUGUGGACGCCAGUCUGCAUGGAGCCGACCUUGAAAUACCACCCUUUAAUGUUUGAUGUUCUAACGUUGGCCCGUAAUCCGGGUUGCGGACAGUGUCUGGUGGGUAGUUUGACUGGGGCGGUCUCCUCCUAAAGAGUAACGGAGGAGCACGAAGGUUGGCUAAUCCUGGUCGGACAUCAGGAGGUUAGUGCAAUGGCAUAAGCCAGCUUGACUGCGAGCGUGACGGCGCGAGCAGGUGCGAAAGCAGGUCAUAGUGAUCCGGUGGUUCUGAAUGGAAGGGCCAUCGCUCAACGGAUAAAAGGUACUCCGGGGAUAACAGGCUGAUACCGCCCAAGAGUUCAUAUCGACGGCGGUGUUUGGCACCUCGAUGUCGGCUCAUCACAUCCUGGGGCUGAAGUAGGUCCCAAGGGUAUGGCUGUUCGCCAUUUAAAGUGGUACGCGAGCUGGGUUUAGAACGUCGUGAGACAGUUCGGUCCCUAUCUGCCGUGGGCGCUGGAGAACUGAGGGGGGCUGCUCCUAGUACGAGAGGACCGGAGUGGACGCAUCACUGGUGUUCGGGUUGUCAUGCCAAUGGCACUGCCCGGUAGCUAAAUGCGGAAGAGAUAAGUGCUGAAAGCAUCUAAGCACGAAACUUGCCCCGAGAUGAGUUCUCCCUGAGACUUAGAGUCUCCUGAAGGAACGUUGAAGACGACGACGUUGAUAGGCCGGGUGUGUAAGCGCAGCGAUGCGUUGAGCUAACCGGUACUAAUGAACCGUGAGGCUUAACCUU